CGUGACGUCAGUUUGGCGGGGAGUUUGGUGGCCGGGGCUUACAGUGGCGGGAGUUGGAGGCAAUAACUAGUCGUGUUGUGAGGGGCGCGAGCUACGCUUUCUGCUCAUCCUGGGGGCAUUUCCACGGCUUUUCUGUCCGUUGAGCCUCUUCCUCUGGCCCAGAUGCUCUUUAAUUCGGUGCUCCGCCAGCCCCAGUUCGGCGUCCCGAGAAAUGGAUGGUCUUCACAGUACCCUCUACAGUCCCUUCUAACUGGUUAUCAGUGCAACUGUAAUGAUGAGCACACUUCUUAUGGAGAAACAGGAGUCCCAGUUCCUCCUUUUGGAUGUACCUUCUCUUCCGCUCCCAAUAUGGAGCAUAUACUAGCAGUUGCCAAUGAAGAAGGCUUCGUUAGACUGUAUAAUACAGAAUCACAAGCCUAUAGAAAGAAGUGUGUCAAAGAAUGGAUGGCUCACUGGAAUGCUGUCUUUGACCUGGCCUGGGUUCCUGGUGAACUUAAACUUGUUACAGCAGCAGGUGACCAAACAGCCAAAUUUUGGGAUGUAAAAGCUGGUGAGCUGAUUGGAACAUGCAAAGGUCAUCAGUGCAGCCUUAAGUCAGUUGCCUUUUCUAAGUUUGAGAAAGCUGUCUUCUGUACAGGUGGAAGAGAUGGCAACAUUAUGGUCUGGGACACCAGGUGCAACAAAAAAGAUGGAUUUUAUAGGCAAGUGAAUCAAAUCAGUGGAGCUCACAAUACCUUAGACAAGCAAACCCCAUCAAAACCUAAGAAGAAACAGAAUUCAAAAGGACUUGCUCCAUCUGUGGAUUUCCAGCAGAGUGUUACUGUGGUCCUCUUUCAAGAUGAGAAUACAUUAAUCUCAGCAGGAGCUGUGGAUGGGGUAAUCAAGAUAUGGGAUUUACGUAAGAAUUAUACUGCUUAUCGACAGGAACCCAUAGCAUCCAAGUCUUUCCUGUACCCAGGUAGCAGUACUCGAAAACUAGGAUAUUCAAGUCUGAUUUUGGAUUCCACUGGCUCUACUUUAUUUGCUAACUGCACAGAUGACAAUAUCUACAUGUUCAAUAUGACUGGAUUAAAGACUUCUCCAGUGGCUAUCUUCAAUGGACAUCAAAACUCUACUUUUUAUGUUAAAUCAAGUCUUAGUCCAGAUGACCAGUUUUUAGUCAGUGGCUCAAGUGAUGAGGCUGCCUACAUCUGGAAGGUCUCCACACCCUGGCAUCCUCCUACUGUGCUCCAGGGUCACUCUCAAGAGGUCACGUCUGUGUGCUGGUGUCCAUCAGACUUCACAAAGAUUGCUACUUGCUCUGAUGACAAUACACUGAAAAUCUGGCGCUUGAAUAGAGGCUUAGAGGAGAAAUCAGGAGGAGAUAAACUCUCCAUAGUGGGUUGGGCCUCUCAGAAGAAAAAAGAAGCGAGAGCUGACCUAGUAACAGUGACAAAUAGCCAGAGUACUCCUGCCAAAGCCCCCAGAGUAAAGAGCAGUCCAUCCAUUUCCUCCCCAUCAUCAGCAGCUUGUGCUCCAAGCUGUGCAGGAGACCUCCCUCUUCCUUCAAAUACUCCCACAUUCUCUAUUAAAACCCCUCCUGCCAAAUCUCGGUCUCCCAUCAGCAGAAGAGGCUCUGUUUCCUCUGUCUCUCCAAAACCACCCUCAUCUUUCAAGAUGUCCAUUAGAAACUGGAUGACCCGAACACCAUCCUCAUCACCACCCAUCACUCCACCGGCUUCUGAGACCAAGAUCACAUCUCCAAGAAAAGCCCUUAUUCCUGUGAGUCUGAAAUCAUCCCAAGCAGUGGCUUGCUCAGAGUCUAGAAAUCGAGUAAAGAGGAGGCUAGACUCAAGUUGUCUGGAGAGUGUGAAACAGAAGUGUGUGAAGAGUUGCAACUGUGUGACUGAGCUUGAUGACCCAGUUGAAAAGCUUCAUUUGGAUUUGUGCUGCCUUGCUGGUAACCAGGAAGACCUUGGUAAGGACUCUCUAGUUCCUACCAAACCAAGCAAGAUUGAAGGAGCUAGUAUUAGUAUUUCAGAGCCUCCUUCUCCUGCCAGUCCUUAUGCUUCAGAAAGCUGUGGAACACUACCUCUUCCUUUGGGAUCUUGUGGAGAAGGGUCUGAGGUGGUAGGCAAAGAGAAUAGCUCCCCAGAGAAUAAAAACUGGUUAUUGGCCAUGGCAGCCAAACGGAAGGCUGAGAAUUCAUCUCCACGAAGUCCGUCCUCCCAGACCCCCAAUUCCAGGAGACAGAGCGGAAAGACUUCUCCAGGUCCGGUCACUAUUACUCCCAGCUCCAUGAGGAAAAUCUGUACAUACUUCCAUAGAAAAUCCCAAGAUGACUACUGCAGUCCUGAACAGUCAACAGAAUUAUAGAUCUAAUCUGAAGAAAAUCCAUUCAACUCUGAAGUUUACCUACUCUGGUUCUUCUACCAUAGCUUAUAUGCAGCUUCCUCGGGAUGAAUGCUGUGUUUAAAUUCCAUAAAGUCUUCAUAGGAGAUCCUUUGGCUGCCCAGGUCUGGAUAAUGCCACAUCAUGAAAUAACCAGUCACUCAUUAAAUUCUUGGGAAUUAUGGAAAAGCCUAUGCAUUAGCUCUUUAGGUACUGGUUGAAAGUUACAGGGAGGCCAGACAUAACAUUACAUUGGACAUGAGGUACGUCUACUGCUUUAUGAGAUCUGAUGCUAGGAGUACAAGUGCAAAUUGUUAUAAGGGACCCAUUUUUUCUGUCUAAAGUGGUAGAAAAACCUGUUUUACUUCUGAGCUAUGUUUGAGUGCCUGCUAAAAAAGCACAGUGGUCGUUAGGAAACAGUGUAGGGUAAAGUCAGCCUUUUCAAAAAAUCACCUGAGCAUAUUAAGCAGCUUGUUCAGAUCAGUAGGCUCACAGCAAGCACAUAGUACACAAAUAAGAAGUAUUAUAUUAUUAAAGAACAGGCUUGUUCCAUCCCCAAAGCUUAUCCCUCCCAUUUCCCGGCUAAACCAAGAAAGAGGACUUCAAGGAUAUAUAACCAGGUUCUUUAUUUUGAAUUUCAAAGGUUUAGUAUUCCAUUUAUACUUCAUUUCUCUUUAAUUUCCUUAACUUGUCAUAUGCCCCUUCCUGUUUUGACAUUCUAAAUAAUUUGCAUUCAAGUCAUUUUGUGGACUAUGAAUAGCACAUUUCAAAAUACCUUUGAGUAGAAUGUUUUCAAUUCAGUCAACAUUUUAUUCAUCACCUGGGUGCCAGGCCCUGUGUGAAGCACCUGGUCUGCAGAGUUCUUCUCUUUAUUUUUCCGUUGUCAAAGGAGUCACUUUAUUGGGUAAAGUCAGCAUUUAAGAGAAACAGGCAAAGAUCAAAUUUUCAAGUCCUUUGAGUGAAAUUGUUUGUGAGCAGCUAUUAAUGUAGCAAGUGCUGUCUAGAUGCAAUGCACACUCUUCCCUCCAAGAACUUCAUUCAACAACUGCCUAGGGCACCUGAACUUUUCAAAGUAAAAUGCUCUUCUCAUGCAUGUUUUUAUUAUUUUCUUUAUGAAUUAUUCUAUUGUGAAUAAUAGUUAAGAACAUGAUCUCUAUAACCAAACUGCCUAGCUUUGAAUCUAAGCCCUGGCUAUGUGACCUUGGGUGAGUUCUUUAACCUACCUGUGAAUCAAUUUUCUCAUUUAUAAAAUAGGGUUGCAUGGUUAUCGUAUGAAUAUAGGUUUUAGGAUGGUGCCUGGCACAUAAUAGCUAAUGUUUAUUGGACAGUUAACAUUAGCUGUUAUUCUCAAGAUAGGGAGAGCAGGAAUUUUAUCCUUCAUUUGAUAAAUGGACAUGAAGGUUUUAACUAUUCAGUUCUAACUCAUUCCUGUUCAUUCCUGUUCAGUCCCUUUCCUCUAGAGCCAUGGUCUUCAGAGGUAUGGGAACUAAGUAAGAAUCACCUGGGAAGCUUUUUUUUUUUUUUCUUUAUGUUGCCUGAGCCUCCCAGUCCUAGCAUUUUUCUGAAGGAGCAAGUAGACCUCUAGAAAAACAAAACAACUCCAGUUCCGCAAGUGUUUGAGAGUCGUGAUUUUUACCCACCAAGUACACAUGAAAAUUACAGAGGUUAUUUCAUAUGUGGUCUCAGCCAGUGUGCAAAGAGGCUCUAAUUUGCAAAUCUGUCUCCUAGAUUCCUAAGCAAGCCAAAGCAUUUAACUCACACAGAGCCCACACUUCUAUUUCCUGACUGCUGCCCUCCUCUCCUCCACCAGCUCUGCUAUAUUGUUUAAUGUGUGCUCACCUCUAGGGAGGAAGCUGCAACUGGCCGGCCUUGGGUGCCAGCUCUUGAUCACUUGUUAGGCUGUUGUGUUCCAUGGCCAGUGUGUAGGCAUGUAAGAGAGGAAGCUCAGAGCAAGCCAUGUUGCCCUCUUAGUAGCUCUGAUUUUGCAGGAUGCAAGAUUCAAACAUUUGGUUGAGGAGUAAUGUUGUAGACUCUAGAUUCUUUUUUCUCACUUAAUGAGCUUCUUCCCUGGGCUUCUUUUGAUACCAAUAAUACCUGUUGCCAGGGUCACAUCAGUGUCAAAAUACCAGCCAUGAAGGUUUCUUUCAUGUUAUGGUGGACAAACCCAACAUUGGUGUUUCAUUUAGCAUCCAAGCACCAAAUUAUGCUGCCACUGCUGUUGUUCAAGACCCUGGUUUCCAAAUUUGCAGAAAUUUAGAGAAUGUGGUAUUCUCUUAUUAGAAGCUGGCACCUGCACCUCUGCAAACAGUCCCACCAUGCUCAGCCCCCUUUAUGGUUGGUGCCAAAAUUAUCAAUUCAAAUGAAAAUGUUAAGGGCUGCUUUGUUAUCAGCCUAUUCACUUUUCAAAUCAUAGUGUAGAAGUAUAGUUAUUAUACAAAUCAGCCCUUCCCCCAGCAAUAUACUACGAGAUAAUACAUGUUACCGAAAUAGUGAGCUCUAAAUAAGCCAUCUGGCCUUUCUGUGUUGACAUGAAGUUAACGAAUAUUGUCAUACCACAUCAUUCAAUAAUCAUUCAGAACCACUCUUCCCCUUUUUAAUAUCUCUUCCACCUUUUUUCUAUAGCCUACCAUGUACUCAUAAUUUUCUAAGAGUUAUUUAAUAGGAAGCUAUGUAAUAGGGUUUAUUAAGUAUAACUGAAAUAAUAGUGGUACAGGAACUGAAAUAAUUAAAAUCCAGUAGUCAUUGUUGUCUCUGUAAUGGUCAUUAUUUCUUUUUUUUUUUUUUUAAGAUUUUAUUUAUUUAUUCAUGAGAGACACAAAGAGAACACAGGCAGAGGGAGGAGAAGCAGGCUUCCAUGCAGGAGCCCCAUGUGGGACUCAGUCCUAGAAUUCCGGAGGCAAAGGCAGACGCUCAACCUCUGAGCCACCCAGGUGUCCCUGUAAUGGUCAUUAUUUGACCCACCAAUUAAUGUCAAGUUAGAGAUGCUGCUUCCUCAAAAGUCUUAUUGAAUUUAGAUAGCUUUAUGUAGGAGUAAGAGACUCGGAAUCCAAAAAUCCAUAUAUUCACAAGGGUUGACUAGCAAACAAGUAGAAGUGAACAUUAAUAACUUCAUUAAUAACUUCCUGGUAGGAAGGAGGGUGGUUAUGCUAGACAUUUCUCAGCUCUCUAAUUAGGCAAUUAGGUACUGGCCUUGAAGUGUAGAACCUGUAAUUAAGUUUCUAGCUUUGGAAAACUAUAUCCUAAAACCAAGAGAUGUAAGCAACAAAGUCUGGAAUUAUACAUGGAGAGUCUGGAGGAUAAGGAAAAUUAGAAUGUGUUUUUUUGAUGAUUAGGAAUGGUUUCUGUUAUAGCCAACUCUCCUAUACAAUAAAUUGCACAAGGAGAGGAUGCCAUUUAGAGCAGCUUGUUAAUUUGAGUUACCCUAUAGUGUCCUCUUGCCUUUGUGUUUACUUUGACAGUAUUUCUAGUCCCAUUCACUUUCUCCUUUUUCAUGUUAUGUUGCCAACUGAACUCAGUUGAAUAGUGCUUAAAGCUAGGGUUGUGGAUUUGAUUCCUAAAUGGGCCAGUUCACUUCACUCCGUUCUGUGGCCAUUGGCAGUAUCUUACUUACCUAUUCUAGCCAGCUGCUCCAAAAAGAAGUGGAAAAGUGUUUAGGCUCUACAUAAAUGCUAGAGACAAACUCAUUGUAUGUAUCUUCAUUAUACAACCUGAAGGCAUUUUGAAAGCCUGUCAUUCCUUAUUCUCCCUAAAGACCAAGUUAAUAAACCUCUUGAUCAAACUUAUAGGUUGUUUGAUGUAAUGUACACAAUAACCCUAUAUCCAUCUAUGGGUGGAUAUAAUUUGUUAUCCACAUUUUGGGAGACUGGAAACUAAAGCACAAAGAAGUAAUUAGCCCAAGGAUACAUAGCCAGCAGCUUGUGGAUUUGGUCUGACUCAAAGCCCACAGUCUUAAUUCCCAUACUAUAAUGCCUCAGAGAAAGAAACUUGUCCCUGGCCUUCUAUUACUCAAAUACAUGCUCUCUAUUUUGCACACAUUUGAACAAGAAGAAGAACUCUCAAAAUGUCCCAAAUACAUUUCUUCUCUGAGUAAUAAAUGAAAUGAUACUACUUCUUGGAGAGGACAAACUUCAGAAAAGAAAAAGAGAAAGCCUUGCUCACUAAUGUAGGGGAAAGAAUGGAGAUGAGGCUAUAUAUACCAUGUGACCAGGUGAUUCCACCCCUGUGCCCUAAGGACGCUUGCAUGUGCUGGGCACAAGAAAGGUGUUCAGAGCAGCAUUGUUUAUACUGGCCAAAGGCUGGAAACAACCCAAAUAUCCAUCUACAGUAGAAUGGGUAAACUGGGAUGCUUAUGGUAGACACUCUUAACCAUGAAAUGAAAAAGAAUAAACUAGCUACACAGAACCUGAAUGAAUGUUAGAAUGGUGAGCAAAAGAGGCAAGAAACGAGGGGAUGCAUGUAGGAUGAUUCUCUUCAUAUCAGAUGUUAACAAAAAAUGCAAAUCUGAGGCAAAUCAUUAAACAAUAAAUUAAGAUAGUGGAUCCCUCUGGAAGGCUGUACUUGGGAAGUAGCACAGCAAGGACUUCUAGGUUAUGGCAAGGUUCUCUCUUCCUCUGCUUGGUAGUUACAUGUAUUUGUAUUUGCUUUAUAAUUAUGUCUUACAUUUGUGUUUUAUGCAUGUUUCUGUUUUAUGAUUAUGAUGUUUGUAAAAGUUUUUGAAAAGGAAUAAAGAUCAGAUAGUUCUCUAGA